CCGGAAGUCAGCGAGGAGCAAAACCAGGAGCCCGGCCCCGCCCGCACCGGGGUCCCCUCCUGUCGGGGGGACUCACCCGAAGAAGCCCCGGAGGAAGGUCACGUAGAUGAGGGGCGCGAAGAAGCUGAAGUAGAGGAAGGUGGUGGCGUCCACGCAGCUGGAGGGGAGAGGUGGAGGGUCAGGGGGCGGGGCCUCGACCUCAGGCGGGACAUCGCGCCCCUCGCUGCUCCGCCCCCAGCCCUGGGCGGGCCCGACGGCUCGCGACCACCCCGCGUUCCACGUACCAGAGCCCCUCGAUGAUGUCGGCACAGAGCAGCGCGCUCCCCAGGCCCUGCACCAGGUUGAGCAGCGCCAGGAUGCCCGCGUACACGUAGAAGCUCCGCCGCGCUGGAGGGGGUGGGUCUAUGAGGUCCUGCCCUUCCAGGGCCAGGCCCUGCCGCCCCUCCCUUCCAGCGCGUGGUCUGGGACGCCCUCUGGGGCUCCCCCGGAGGUCUCCCCCCCCACACCCCGGUCAGGGUUCUCCAGCUCCAGGCCACAGUGGCCCGAACAGACCUCCCCCACCCCCACCCCUCCCCCAGUCCCUCUCCCAGGGCCACGUGCCAGCCGCUCACAGGGCAGGGAGAUGCGCUCCUUCAGCGGGGUCUUGGGGAGGACGACCACCAGAGAGUAGACCUGAGAGGACAGAGCGGGGCUCAGAAGGAUGUCGGGGGCACCCUGCCCAGACCCGAAGCCGACCCCCAAGGCAUCCCUUCCCGGCUAACCCAGCCCACCCCCAGGGUUCCCAACCGGGGAGCCCCAACCUCCACCUCACCAGGAAGAAAAAGCAGGAGCUGACCAGCCAGAACUGGCGGCCCCCGUGCCCGUAGAUGUUGAAGUCCUCAGCGGACAGGUGGCCUGGAAGAAACAUGCUGGUCAGCGAGCGUGGGCCAGCCCACAGGAUGCUGUGCGGGGCCGCCCCCAGCCAGGGAGGGAGAGCGUGGGCCCAGGCCCGCGAGCCCCAGCAGCACACGCACCAAAGGCCAGGCCCAGGAUGACCACGCUCAGCUCGAUGGCCAGCAGGAAGAAGCGGGUAAUCUCCCACAGGAUCUGGACACAGAGUGGGCAGACGUCAGCCUGGUGGCCUGGCCAACCCCUGGCCCCCAGCAUCCGGCGCCCCCGCCCAGCCCGCCCUUCUCGGCCAGCCCAGACACACCUUAUCAGCCACCGUGGCGGCAUCCGACGUGCUGACCGUCAUGGACACCACCGCCCGGGCGAUGCCCACCAGUGCCACCACGAACACCUGGUGGGGCCAGGGGUGGGAGACUCUGGGUACGGCAGGGACACACAAACCCACCCCCACACCUGCGGGUGCCUUCUCUUCCUCGAGAACAGGAGGAAUUCCUACUAAACUGCAAAGCCCCCAAGUUGGGGCUCCACUGCUGUCUGGCCUCAGGGCUGCCCGUUGCCAUCACCACCACCCCGCGCCCCUGGGCCUCGGUUUCCCGGCUAGCGCUGACAUCCUGGAUUCCAAGGCCCAUGAAGCAAAACAGGGGCCAGAAGGGUGAGACAAGCUGACAAGGUGGAGCCAGAGUGCCUGGGUUCAAAUCCCAGCUCUGGGACCCCAGGCGAGUAACUGCACCUCUGAGCCCUCAGUUUCCUCUUCUAUAAAGUGGGAGUUAAAGCA